rnacentral:ncRNA from 12 species
CCUGCACUUCGAACCGGCUCCGUAUGGAGUGCUUGCCACGGUAACCCAUGGCUAGAAUGCAGGAUCGCA